rnacentral:rRNA from 1 species
ACAUCCAGAGAAUUUAGCAGAGAUGCUUUAGUGCCUUCGGGAACUCUGAGACAGGUGCUGCAUGGCUGUCGUCAGCUCGUGUUGUGAAAUGUUGGGUUAAGUCCCGNAACGAGCGCAACCCCUAUCCUUUGUUGCCAGCGAUUCGGUCGGGAACUCAAAGGAGACUGCCGGUGAUAAACCGGAGGAAGGUGGGGAUGACGUCAAGUCAUCAUGGCCCUUACGAGUAGGGCUACACACGUGCUACAAUGGCGCAUACAAAGAGAAGCGACCUCGCGAGAGCAAGCGGACCUCAUAAAGUGCGUCGUAGUCCGGAUUGGAGUCUGCAACUCGACUCCAUGAAGUCGGAAUCGCUAGUAAUCGUAGAUCAGAAUGCUACGGUGAAUACGUUCCCGGGCCUUGUACACACCGCCCGUCACACCAUGGGAGUGGGUUGCAAAAGAAGUAGAUAGCUUAACCUUCGGGAGGGCGUUUACCACUUUGUGAUUCAUGACUGGGGUGAAGUCGUAACAAGGUAAGCGUACGUGU